GAUGAACGCUGGCGGCGUGCCUAAUACAUGCCAGUCGAGCGAACGGACGAGAAGCUUGCUUCUCUGAUGUUAGCGGCGGACGGGUGAGUAACACGUGGAUAACCUACCUAUAAGACUGGGAUAACUUCGGGAAACCGUAGCUAAUACCGGAUAAUAUUUUGAACCGCAUGGUUCAAUAGUGAAAGACGGUCUUGCUGUCACUUAUAGAUGGAUCCGCGCUGCAUUAGCUAGUUGGUAAGGUAACGGCUUACCAAGGCAACGAUGCAUAGCCGACCUGAGAGGGUGAUCGGCCACACUGGAACUGAGACACGGUCCAGACUCCUACGGGAGGCAGCAGUAGGGAAUCUUCCGCAAUGGGCGAAAGCCUGACGGAGCAACGCCGCGUGAGUGAUGAAGGUCUUCGGAUCGUAAAACUCUGUUAUUAGGGAAGAACAUAUGUGUAAGUAACUGUGCACAUCUUGACGGUACCUAAUCAGAAAGCCACGGCUAACUACGUG
rnacentral:rRNA from 1 species